rnacentral:rRNA from 1 species
CAGCCGCCGCGGUAAUACGGAGGGUGCAAGCGUUGUCCGGAUUUAUUGGGUUUAAAGGGUGCGUAGGCGGCUGAUUAAGUCAGUGGUGAAAGACAUCGGCUCAACCGAUGCAGUGCCAUUGAUACUGGUCAGCUUGAGUGUUGGAGGGGUACAUGGAAUUGAUGGUGUAGCGGUGAAAUGCAUAGAUACCAUCAGGAACACCGAUAGCGAAGGCAUUGUACUGGCCAACAACUGACGCUGAGGCACGAAAGCAUGGGGAGCGAACAGG